UACGUAGGGAGCAAGCGUUGUCCGGAAUCAUUGGGCGUAAAGCGCGCGUAGGUGGCCCCAUAAGUCCGCUGUGAAAGUCAAAGGCUCAACCUUUGAAAGCCGGUGGAUACUGUGGGACUAGAGUACGGAAGAGGCGAGUGGAAUUCCUGGUGUAGCGGUGGAAUGCGCAGAUAUCAGGAGGAACACCAAUAGCGAAGGCAGCUCGCUGGGACGUUACUGACACUGGGGCGCGAAAGCGUGGGGAGCGAACAGG
rnacentral:rRNA from 1 species